rnacentral:rRNA from 1 species
GGAAGCCCUUCGGGGUGGAAUUUUUACAUCUUAGCGGCGGACGGGUGCGUAACACGUGGGUAACCUGCCCCUAUCACUGGGAUAACACACUGAAAAGUGUGCUAAUACCAGAUAAUAUAAGCUUUUGGCAUCAUUAGCUUAUCAAAGAAUUUCGGAUAGGGAUGGGCCCGCGUCUGAUUAGCUAGUUGGUGAGGUAACGGCUCACCAAGGCAACGAUCAGUAGCCGACCUGAGAGGGUGAUCGGCCACACUGGAACUGAGACACGGUCCAGACUCCUACGGGAGGCAGCAGUGGGGAAUAUUGCACAAUGGGCGAAAGCCUGAUGCAGCAACGCCGCGUGAGCGAUGAAGGCCUUCGGGUCGUAAAGCUCUGUCCUAUGGGAAGAUAAUGACGGUACCAUAGGAGGAAGCCCCGGCUAACUACGUGCCAGCAGCCGCGGUAAUACGUAGGGGGCAAGCGUUAUCCGGAAUUACUGGGCGUAAAGGGUGCGUAGGCGGUUUAUCAAGUCAGGGGUGAAAGGCUACGGCUCAACCGUAGUGAGCCUCUG